UAGCACACGGCGGACGCUUCAG
rnacentral:miRNA from 1 species